GACGAACGCUGGCGGCGUGCUUAACACAUGCAAGUCGAACGAGAAAGCGCCUUCGGGCGUGAGUACAGUGGCGAACGGGUGAGUAACACGUGGGCAACCUGCCCUAGAGACUGGGAUAACGUCCCGAAAGGGACGCUAAUACCGGAUGAUGCGCGACCUGCCAAGUCGGUCGCGCCAAAUGGUAGCUUCGGCUUCUGCUCUGGGAUGGGCCCGCGCUGGAUUAGCCUGUUGGUGGGGUAAUGGCCUACCAAGGCGACGAUCCGUAGCUGGUCUGAGAGGACGAUCAGCCACACUGGGACUGAGACACGGCCCAGACUCCUACGGGAGGCAGCAGUGGGGAAUCUUGCGCAAUGGGCGAAAGCCUGACGCAGCAACGCCGCGUGAGUGAGGAAGGCCUUCGGGUCGUAAAGCUCUGUCAAAGGGAAAGAAGUGCAUGGUGGCUAAUACCUGCCAUGUUUGUCGGUACCCUUAAAGGAAGCACCGGCUAACUCCGUGCCAGCCGCCGCGGUAAUAC
rnacentral:rRNA from 1 species